GGGGAGAAUUAGCUAAUUAAUAAAUGAAGCUGUUGCUUGCAGGUCACAGUCGACGAUCCUGCUGUGUCAUCCGUGGAGCGCUGAGUCAGCCCUGCCUCAAACCUGAACCCAGACGACCGGGAUCUGUACGAGGCUCUCUAGCUCCACCGUUUGACAGGGGAGCGCAAUGAGCUUUGCGGCCUUGAAAGGGAGACACUGUAUUAAGGAUAAAAACUGGACUAAACCUCACCCGGUAGAUCAUGCGUCCCUUUCCCUUUAACUCCCUAUCCUCCAGCUAAGCUAGAUCCGUUUACCGGAGAUCUGGAUUUCUUCGGGUUGGUUGCUUUACAGAGCCCUCUGCCCUCUUGCUCCCCCAGGACUUCAGGCACGCCCUUGGCCAGAAUCCAGGCGCCGCCUAGGCUCUCUCUUCACUUCCUGCCUCCUAACUCUCAAGAGGGGCGGAGCAGCUUUCUUGAAGGUGGACAUCAUGGCUCCCAAACACAGAAGUAAAAUUCCACUGGAGUGUAGGGCCUCUUCAGUUCCUUAGAGAUUGUGGAUCUGCUGAAGACCAGCUGCAGGUCAAGACCACUACAUGGAAAGUGAAUGAAUGAAACACUCUUCCAUUUGGAAAUAAGCACAAAUAAUUUUCCUCCACCAGAUCAAAAACCUCAAGGCCUGACAAUCAAAGGCAGGUGAAGAUAUGCUCAGGGCUUCUCUUGGUGACAGUAACAAGAAGCUCGCAACCCACUUUCUCAAACUCU